rnacentral:rRNA from 1 species
UCGGGAAUUUUGGGCAAUGGGCGAAAGCCUGACCCAGCAACGCCGCGUGAAGGAUGAAGUAUUUCGGUAUGUAAACUUCGAAAGAAUAGGAAGAAUAAAUGACGGUACUAUUUAUAAGGUCCGGCUAACUACGUGCCAGCAGCCGCGGUAAUACGUAGGGACCAAGCGUUGUUCGGAUUUACUGGGCGUAAAGGGCGCGUAGGCGGCAUGACAAGUCACUUGUGAAAUCUCUGGGCUUAACCCAGGACGGCCAAGUGAUACUGUCGCGCUAGAGUGCAGAAGGGGCAAUCGGAAUUCUUGGUGUAGCGGUGAAAUGCGUAGAUAUCAAGAGGAACACCUGAGGUGAAGACGGGUUGCUGGGCUGACACUGACGCUGAGGCGCGAAAGCCAGGGGAGCAAACGGGAUUAGAUACCCGUGUAGUCCCUGAGCGGGCUGGCAAGGCGCAU